CCCUGGUGGCUCAGAUGGUAAAGAAUCUUGCCUGUAACGCAAGAGACCUGGGUUCAAUCCCUAGAUUUGGAA
rnacentral:tRNA from 1 species